UACGGAGGGUGCAAGCGUUAUCCGGAUUCACUGGGUUUAAAGGGUGCGUAGGCGGCUAUAUAAGUCAGUGGUGAAAGCCCGCAGCUCAACUGCGGAAUUGCCAUUGAAACUGUAUAGCUUGAAUCUGGUUGAAGUGGGCGGAAUACAUCAUGUAGCGGUGAAAUGCUUAGAUAUGAUGUAGAACACCGAUUGCGAAGGCAGCUCACUAAGCCAACAUUGACGCUGAGGCACGAAAGCGUGGGUAGCGAAC
rnacentral:rRNA from 1 species